AACGAACGCUGGCGGCAGGCCUAACACAUGCAAGUCGAGCGCGCCCUCCGGGGUGAGCGGCGGACGGGUGAGUAACGCGUGGGAACGUGCCCUUUUCUACGGAAUAGCCUCGGGAAACUGAGAGUAAUACCGUAUACGCCCUUUGGGGGUAAGAUUUAUCGGAAAAGGAUCGGCGCGCGUGGGAUUAGGUAGUUGGUGGGGUAAUGGCCUACCAAGCCGACGAUCCAUAGCUGGGUUGAGAGGAUGAUAAGCCACACUGGGACUGAGACACGGCCCAGACUCCUACGCGAGGGAGCAGUGGGGAAUCUUAGACAAGGGGGGCAACCGUGAUCUAGCCAUGCCGGGGGAGUGAUGAAGGCGUUAGGGUUGUAAAGCUCUUUCAGAUGGGAAGAUAAUGACGGUACCAGCAGAAGAGGCCCCGGCUAACUACGUG
rnacentral:rRNA from 1 species